UCAAUACAAUUUCACAUACCAAUUUCAUACAUUCACAUUACAAUACAAUUCAAUACAAUACAAUUCAAGUCACAAUUCAAUUCACAUUCACAUUACAAUUCACAUUACAUUCACAGUACAAUAUGUUUUACAAUUUUUUUUGUUGAACAAUAUUGGAAAUAUCUAAAGUCUUACCUUUUGGUCGAGGUGUCGAAUUCAAAUUAGUAUCUUCUUCCCAAUAAUUUCUCGAUAAUGGAAUAAGUUGGUUCAACUGAGAAGAAACAGGAACAUUACUCGAUGAUGGACGAUUCGGGUCGUUGCUUGUAACAUUAGCCUGAAAAUAAAUGAAGAUAUUCAAAAAAUUAAUAAAUUUAAAAACUAAUUUAAAAACAUUUAUUAAACUCACCUGUAUAUUGUCAAUUAACCGUUGUUCCAGCAUUUUAAAUCGUUUUUCGUUUUCUAUUUCUAACGCUUCCAUUCGUUUAUCAACN
rnacentral:lncRNA from 1 species